UACGUAGGGGGCAAGCGUUGUCCGGAUUUACUGGGCGUAAAGAGCGUGUAGGCGGCCAAGCAGGUCCGUUGUGAAAACUGGAGGCUUAACCUCCAGACGUCGACGGAAACCGCGUGGCUAGAGUCCGGAAGAGGAGAGUGGAAUUCCUGGUGUAGCGGUGAAAUGCGCAGAUAUCAGGAAGAACACCAAUGGCGAAGGCAGCUCUCUGGGACGGUACUGACGCUGAGACGUGAAAGCGUGGGGAGCGAACAGG
rnacentral:rRNA from 1 species